AAAUCUUGACCUGAUAAAGCAUAGCAAGCAGUCAGUACACAGCCUUGAAGUCGAAGCCGUGAGGUUAGAUUUAAGCGUAGGCAAUGGAGUAUGAGAGCCGCAAUGCGAAAGCGUGAAGCUAUAGAGCUCCGUAAUUUAUGUUGUUAGCGGAAGUCGAUGCAGUCAUUGUUGCAGCAGACAGCAUCAGCAGAUUCGUUAGGCGAGAAACUGCUGAUUCCACCGGGGUCCGAGGG
rnacentral:ncRNA from 1 species